AUUCAAAUGUGAAUUCUGAUGGAGCUGAAUGUCUUCUGUGAGGUGGAGUCAAUGCAAACAUGGACGUCUUCCUCCUCUAUUUAUCUGACAGCAGAGAUGACAGCAGAGACACUGAACUCAGUUGAACAUGAUGGACUGUAGGACAGGACUGCUGCUUUUAACUCUCUGUUAUGCAGUUGUUCAUGGACAGACUCUGACUGAGUCUGAAUCUGCGGUUAAAAGACCUGGAGAAUCCCACAGACUGACCUGUUCAGCCUCUGGAUUCUCUUUCAGUGGCUAUCACAUGGGCUGGAUCAGACAGGCUCCUGGAAAAGGACUGGAAUGGAUCGCUUGGAUCAGCACUAGCAGCGGCAGCAUGUACUACUCAGAGUCAGUGAAAAACCGCUUCACCAUCUCCAGAGACAACAGCAGACAGCAGGUGUAUCUGCAGAUGAACAGUCUGAGAGUUGAGGAUUCUUCUGUUUAUUAUUGCGCGAGAGACACAGUGACUCAAGAGACCGAAACUCUGUACAAAAACACCACAUGAAGAAAAUUGCUUUCAUUUGUUGCUUUAAAUAUU